rnacentral:lncRNA from 1 species
AGGCUAUAUACAGUAGAGGCUAUAUACAGUAGAGAGGCUAUAUACAGUAGAGAGGCUAUAUACAGUAGAGAGGCUAUAUACAGUAGAGAGGCUAUAUACAGUAGAGGUUAUAUACAGUAGAGAGGCUAUAUACAGUAGAGAGGCUACAUACAGUAGAGAGGCUACAUACAGUAGAGAGGCUAUAUACAGUAGAGAGGCUACAUACAGUAGAGAGGCUAUAUACAGUAGAGAGGCUAUAUACAGUAGAGAGGUUAUAUACAGUAGAGGCUAUAUACAGUAGAGAGGCUAUAUACAGUAGAGAGGUUAUAUACAGUAGAGAGGCUAUAUACAGUAGAGAAGCUAUAUACAGUAGAGGCUAUAUACAGUAGAGAGGCUAUAUACAGUAGAGAGGCUAUAUACAGUAGAGAGGCUAUAUACAGUAGAGAGGCUAUAUACAGUAGAGAGGCUAUAUACAGUAGAGAGGCUAUAUACAGUAGCGAGGCUAUAUACAGUAGAGGCUAUAUACAGUAGAGAGGCUAUAUACAGUAGAGAGGCUAUAUACAGUAGAGAGGCUAUAUACAGUAGAGAGGCUAUAUACAGUAGAGAGGCUAUAUACAGUAGAGAAGCUAUAUACAGUAGAGAGGUUAUAUACAGUACAGAGGCUAUAUACAGUAGAGAGGCUAUAUACAGUAGAGAGGCUAUAUACAGUAGAGAGGCUACAUACAGUAGAGAGUCUAUAUACAGUAGAGAGGCUACAUACAGUAGAGAGGCUAUAUACAGUAGAGAGGCUAUAUACAGUAGAGGCUAUAUACAGUAGAGAGGCUAUAUACAGUAGAGAG